UUGAAAGGGAAACGAUUGAAGUCAGUCGUACCUCGUAAAUCAACUUCUCGGGUGCUUAUCGUGGGUGACGUUGAGCCUCUUCGUCGCUUGUGUUAUUGGUGCCUUUGUGGUGUACUUUUUCGUAUGGUAGGUCAAUAUCGAUUUUGAUCGUCAUAAAAUGAUCGGAGGAAUGUGGCUUCGAUUUCGAUCGGAGUGUUAUAGCCUUUGGUAGAUGUGACGAUUGGGAUCGAGGAUUGCAACGAAUACCCUUUGGGCUAUCCGUCUGGCCUCUGAAAGUCGCUUGGGUGUUGAAAGCGUGCUUAUGACUAUCCAAGUUGGCGGUCAACAGGUUAGAACGUGAUUACAUUCGUUAAGGAUGUUGACGUA
rnacentral:rRNA from 1 species